AAUUCUUUGACGAUAAUUUGCAGAAUUCGACUAACGGUUUUCUUUUUUAGGGAGAGAAGCUAAAGAGAAGUCUAAAAGAAGAAAGAAAAUUUUGAGACUUUUAUACUUUAAAGAAACGAUGCUGUUUUGGGUCUUUAAAUUGCUGUUGACCCAUGUGUUUUACUGAUUACUUAAACCUAACUCGAGCACACGACAAGUGAACCUAUCUCCUUUCGACCUUUGAAGCUAAGUCACCAAGUCAACCGAGUUUCGAGUGUUAAGCUAUUUUUUGUGCCUUCAACAGAGCUUUUAUCAAAUUAUUAAGUCGAGCU
rnacentral:lncRNA from 1 species